GGCGAGUGAAGCAGCAAUAGCUCAAAUUUGAAAUCUGGCGUCUUCGACGUCCGAGUUGUAAUUUGUAGAGGAUGCUUCUGAGUAACCACCGACCUAAGUUCCUUGGAACAGGACGUCAUAGAGGGUGAGAAUCCCGUAUGCGGUCGGAAAGGUGCUCUAUACGUAGCUCCUUCGACGAGUCGAGUUGUUUGGGAAUGCAGCUCUAAAUGGGAGGUAAAUUUCUUCUAAAGCUAAAUAUUGGCCAGAGACCGAUAGCGCACAAGUAGAGUGAUCGAAAGAUGAAAAGCACUUUGGAAAGAGAGUUAAAAAGCACGUGAAAUUGUUAAAAGGGAAGGGAUUGCAACCAGACUUGCUCGCGGUGUUCCGCCGGUCUUCUGACCGGUCUACUCGCCGCGUUGCAGGCCAGCAUCGUCUGGUGCCGCUGGAUAAGACUUGAGGAAUGUAGCUCCCUCGGGAGUGUUAUAGCCUCUUGUGAUGCAGCGAGCGCCGGGCGAGGUCCGCGCUUCGGCUAGGAUGCUGGCGUAAUGGUCGUAAUCCGCCCGUCUUGAANNACG
rnacentral:rRNA from 1 species